rnacentral:rRNA from 1 species
UACGGAGGGAGCUAGCGUUGUUCGGAAUUACUGGGCGUAAAGCGCACGUAGGCGGCUUUGUAAGUUAGAGGUGAAAGCCCGGGGCUCAACCCCGGAAUUGCCUUUAAGACUGCAUCGCUUGAAUCCGGGAGAGGUGAGUGGAAUUCCGAGUGUAGAGGUGAAAGUUCGUAGAUAUUCGGAAGAACACCGGUGGCGAAGGCGGUCUGCUGGGCCAAGACUGACGCUGGAGGCGCGACAGCGUGGGGAGCAAACAGG